AUAUGUUAUCCAUAAUCAAUUCCUUUGCAGUUUGAAAAUUUCAGCGUUUUUCAUAAGACAAUUGAUUAUUAAACACACACAAUCGAUUGUUGGAACAUAGACAAUUGAUUGUUAAAUACACACAAUCGAUUAUUUGUUAUUUUUGAAAAACUCAAGAGCAUACUGUCUUACGACAAUCGAUUGUUAAACAUAGACAAUCGAUUGUGGAUGAUUUUUGAAAAAUUCCAGAUUA
rnacentral:lncRNA from 1 species